CUAUUCUUAAUGUGCAGUCAUAGGCAGUUACAACAGUCUGAGUGUCUUCUUCCUCACUAAAUAAAUCUAACUUGAUGUUUUAUUACUAAAUCUGUAUUACUUGUGUAAUGUGUAACAAGUUGAAAUAGAUGGCUAAUUAAGAAUUUCAGUGUCUUUUGUGACGUUUAAUUAGCACAGUAAUCCUUUGUCCUCUCUAGCUAGCGAGUGCUAGCACAUUCAUACCUUGUUCUGUCUAGCUAGCUGGCGCUAGAACAUUAGUAGCUUAUCCUCUCUAGCAAGCAAAGCAUUUUAAUUAAUUAGCUAGUCUUCUAAUACCUUCUUCUACCUUCUAAUUCUCUUUAGCUAGCUAGCUAGAGCUAGCACACAUAAACACAUUAACCAAAGCUAGCGCUUAGCUACGUGCUAAUCGCUAGCUACGCUUAGCUAUGUCUGCUAACCGCUAAUCGCUAGCUAUGCUAAUCGCUAGCUAAGUGCUAGCUUUGGUUAAUGUGUUUAAUUGUAUUAUGCUCCUGAAGGAGUGCUAAUAUAAAUUAAGGAACAGCUCAUAGUAGGGUAAAAUAUUUAAGGUGUAUUGAACUUAUUUUGUGUUAAUAUUAAAAUCAUUCAGCUUUAAAUUGUUUGCUUGUUAGCCACCUGCUAAUUAUCUUUAGCUAGCCAGCUAGCGCUAGCUUAUUAAUGCCAUGUAAUCCUCCCUAUAGCAUAUUGAUAACCUGUCAUCCUCCUUAGCUAGCGCUGCUAUUAAUAUCAUGUCAUUCUCUUUAGCCAGCUAGCUAGCGCUAGCUUAUUAAUGCCAUGUAAUCCUCCCUAUAGCAUAUUGAUAACCUGUCAUCCUCCUUAGCUAGCGCUAGCAUAUUAAUACCAUAUCAUUCUCUUUAGCUAGCUAGCUAGAGCUAGCACACAUAAACACAUAAACCAAAGGUAGCGCUUAGCUACGUGCUAAUCGCUAGCUAACCGCUAAUCGCUAGCUAACUGCUAAUCGCUAGCUACAUGCUAAUGGCUAGCUAUGCGCUAAUCGCUAGCUAAGCGCUAAUCGCUAGCUAAGUGCUAGCUUUGGUUAAUGUGUUUAAUUGUAUUAUGCUCCUGAAGGAGUGCUAAUGUAAAUUAAGGAACAGCUCAUAGUAGGGUAAAAUAUUUAAGGUGUAUUGAACUUAUUUUGUGUUAAUAUUAAAAUCAUUCAGCUUUAAAUUGUUUGCUUGUUAGCCACCUGCUAAUUAUCUUUAGCUAGCCAGCUAGCGCUAGCUUAUUAAUGCCUUGUCAUUCUCUGUAGCUAGCUGUGUGUGUGUGUGUGUGUGUGU
rnacentral:lncRNA from 1 species